UCUAAUGGUUUUAAUGGACAUUGUAAUGGUCUCUGUUGGUCUCUAUUGGUAAUUUGCUUUCUUCUAUUGGUGGCAUGUAUUGUCUAUUGGAUAUCAUUAAGGACCAAUAGAACACCUUUGGAAACUUCUGGUGGUAUCUACUGGACACCAGUAGAAACCAUUAUGACUCCAAUAAAUUAAGUGGUUUCUUUGGAAAACUGUAAUGGUCUUAGUUGGUAUACUGCUGCAAAAAAAAAAAAAAAAAAAAAAAAUGAACACACAAACAAUAGAAACCAUUACAGAAUUUGUAAGGGUUUUAGUGGUUCUAAUGGGAAUUCUGUUGGUUUUAUUGUAAUGGUCCCUAUGGGUCUCUAUUUGUAAUUUGCUUUCUUUUAUUGGUGGCAUGUAUUGUCUAUUGGAUACCGUUAAGGACCAAAAGAACACCUUUGGAAACUUCUGCUGGUACCCAACCAGCACCAGACGUCAUUUGGACAUGGUUUUGUUUUUUGUUUUUUUGGCUAAAUCAACUCGGCCCGUCAUGGCCUUCUUUUAGAUCAAAAAUUGACGUUGAAAGUUGGUCUCUGCUUGGUUCGUCGGAUUUGGUCCAAAUUUUGCCCUAAAAUCAGCAAUGGUCUUUUUUUUGUCUGUCUGAUUUGGUUCAAAUAUAGCCCCAAAAUCUAUGUUUAAUAUUAGGUUUUGUUUGGUCCAUCUGAUUUGGACCAAAUUUAGGCCAAAAAUAAAUGUUGAAAUAACAGUGAAAUUCUGCAUGACUUCUACGUGCUGUCAUGGGCGCGCGCGCUGAACUGGAGAGGAGGACGUCACCAUGGAAACGAGGCGGCAGCCCAACCGUCAAGCAGCUGAACGCUGACUCUCAAUGUGGUUUUCACUAUUUUUUAGGUAAGUUUCGUCUAUAUAUAUAUAUAAUUACACAAAUAGUACAUUAAAGUGUUUCUGACACUUUAUUUCAUGUAAAUGAUACGCUUCCGUUUAAUAUUUACUUUAUAGAAAUGGUUUAGUGUCGUCAGAAAAAGUCCGUUAGCAUCUCAACCGUAAGGCUAACUACAAGAGGUUCUUCCAUGCUGAUGGCUGUGCUCUAGAGUCAUAUCUCCUGUCGAAGAACAUUUUUAGACACUAUGAACCAUGAAAAAGUGUCUGUCUCAGAAGCUGAAGAAAAGAGGCCACACCUCAGAUGAAAUAAGCGCCUCCUAAGUGUACGGAAAUACCUGGCUGAGAAGAUCAAUGACAUAAACCAGAUAAAACUGUCAGUGGUCUAAAACAGCUACAAUGAAGCUACAAAUGCAGUUCAUAGUUCCUGUAUUUCUAUAAUGCAUUAAUGAAUAACAAUAAUUU